GUGCAGCAGUCGAGAAACUUCACACUGUGCGAAAGCACGAUGAGGGAAUCCCAAGUGCUUGCACGUAAGUGUAAGCUGUUUCUCUGUCUAAAACGCAGAGAGAGUAAGGGCUGGGUAAGACGGGUGCCAGCCGCCGCGGUAAUACCUGCAGCUCAAGUGGUGACCGUUAUUAUUGGGCCUAAAACGUCCGUAGCCGGUUUAAUAAGUGCCUGGGUAAAUUGUGUAGCUUAACUAUACGAAUUCCGGGUAGACUGUUAAACUUGAGACCGGGAGAAGUUAGAGGUACUCCUGGGGUAGAGGUGAAAAUUCUGUAAUCCUAGGGGGACCACCAGUGGCGAAGGCGUCUAACUAGAACGGGUCUGACGGUGAGGGACGAAGCCCUGGGGCGCAAACGGGAUUA
rnacentral:rRNA from 1 species